UACCUGCAGCCCGAGUGGUGGCCGUUAUUAUUGGGCCUAAAACGUCCGUAGCCUGUUUGGUAGAUGCCUGUGUAAAUCGAACGGCUUAACCGUUCGAACUGCGGGUAGACCGCCAGACUUGGGACCGGGAGAGUCACGAAGUACUCCGGGGGUAGAGGUGAAAUUCUGUAAUCCUCGGGGGACUACCGGUGGCGAAGGCGUCGUGAUAGAACGGCUCCGACGGUGAGGGACGAAGCCCUGGGGCGCAAACCGG
rnacentral:rRNA from 1 species